GGAAUAUACCGGUUCUCGUUAGAUCACCGAAGUUAAGCAUCAUUGGGCGCGGUCAGUACUUGGGUGGGUGACCACCAGGAAACACCGCGUGCCGUCG
rnacentral:rRNA from 1 species